rnacentral:rRNA from 1 species
UACGGAGGGGGCAAGCGUUGUGCGGAAUUACUGGGCGUAAAGCGCCCGUAGGCGGCGAUUCGCGUCGGGUGUGAAAGCGCCGGGCUUAACCUGGUAGGGGCACUUGAUACGGGAUGGCUGGAAUGCGGUAGAGGAUGGUGGAAUUCCCAGUGUAGCGGUGAAAUGCGUAGAUAUUGGGAAGAACACCGGUGGCGAAGGCGGCCAGCGGGGCCUGGAUUGACGCUGAGGCGCGAAAGCUUGGGGAGCAAACGGG